UACGAAGGGGGGCUAGCGUUGCUCGGAAUGACUGGGCGUAAAGGGCGCGUAGGCGGGAUGGCAAGUCGGUCGUGAAAUCCUUCGGCUCAACCGAAGAACGUCGGCCGAUACUGCCGUUCUUGAGGGAUGCAGAGGAGAUUGGAAUUCCCGGUAUAGCGGUGAAAUGUGUAGAGAUCGGGAGGAACACCGGUGGCGAAGGCGGGUCUCUGGGCCAAAACUGACGCUGAGGAGCGAAAGCGUGGGGAGCAAACAGG
rnacentral:rRNA from 1 species